CAGGUAGGACUACCCGCUGAACUUUAAGCAUAUCAAUAA
rnacentral:rRNA from 1 species